GGAAGCAUUUUCGAAGUGCAUGCUGCCUUUGGAGAGAAGAGUUCAGAAGCUGGAAACAACCCAGAAAUUUCACAAUGGAAGAAAGGAUACAGAAAAUGUGGUUCAUUUACACAAUGAAAUACUACUCAACUAUUAAGAAUGAGGAUAUCCUGUGUUUUGCAGACAAAUGUAUGGAACUAGAAAAUAUCCUGAGUAAGGAGCCUAGCAUGGUGGCCCUCUGAGAGACCCAACAAGCAGCUGAAAAAGCCAGAUACACCCAACCAAUGGACAGA